rnacentral:snoRNA from 1 species
UAGUCUCCUGCCUCGCUCAAUCUGCCGUUUCAUCCGACAGAUUUCGAGCUGGAUGCACCCAUGCCUUUCAUUAGAGCAUGCGUGUACGAGACAAGAGAAACUCCCAAGUGACGAUCUUUGAGUACGGGGCCGACGUGAUGCCAUGUGUCGGUCUAUCGUAAUUUAUCAGUCCCUACAUAC